AUCUAUUCCGGACCGAUCCUGCCAACGUCAUGAAAGGGGAAGGAGAUGAUGGCAUUAUCGAAGGCAUCCCGGUGAUUGUGCCGUCCUCUGGGAGGAGAAAAUAAUUGCAGAGCUGACCAGUGGAUCUGACCUCUAACAAAAUGCUUCUCUACAAAAAAGAUGAAUGGAAGCAUAAAGACCACUUUGCCAUCCUGGCUGAUCUACGUAGCACCACGGAUACAGAUGAUGGUAGAAAAGCUGCUGUUCUGACACAGCGAGCAAGAUGAAGAAGGCAUCCCUUGGGUAUAGAGGAACCAUUUCGCUUCUCCCUCCUGGAGAUGCUGCUCGCCAGCGUCCGCUGUGAAGCCUUCGGCCGGGUCCGACGUCCACCUGCUGCGGUUUCCAGGAACCCUGGACCAUUAGCUCAGGCGUCGCUGCGUCGUGCCUCGUGGUGACUGAGGAGUCGAUACCUAUGGAGCUGCAAUGUUUUCAUCUUUGCGUUUGCCGCCUGGUCUAACUGUCCUUCGGGUGAAUAAUGGCUUCUGGAAAAAUCUUUCAGAUCUGAAUAAUAAUCAACAAAUUCUUUCCCAAUGAAAAGCUGCAUCACGUAUAACUGAUCAUGAUUGAGUGAA